UACAGAGGACGCAAGCGUUAUCCGGAAUGAUUGGGCGUAAAGCGCGCGCAGGCGGUUUUCCAAGUCAGUGGUGAAAGCCCGGAGCUCAACUCCGGAAAUGCCAUUGAAACUGCAAAACUUGAGUACGAGAGAGGUGAGUGGAAUUCCCAGUGUAGAGGUGAAAUUCGUAGAUAUUCGCAAGAACACCAGUGGCGAAGGCGGCUCACUGGCCCGGUACUGACGCUGAGAUGCGAAAGCGUGGGGAGCAAACAGG
rnacentral:rRNA from 1 species